CCCUAGUAACUGCGAGUGAAGCGGGAAGAGCUCAAAUUUAAAAUCUGGCGGUCUUAUGGCUGUCCGAGUUGUAAUCUAGAGAAGUGCUGCCCGCGCUGGACCGUGUACAAGUCUCCUGGGAUGGAGCGUCAUAGAGGGUGAGAAUCCCGUCUCUGACACGGACUACCAGGGCUUUGUGGUACGCUCUCAAAGAGUCGAGUUGUUUGGGAAUGCAGCUCAAAAUGGGUGGUAAAUUCCAUCUAAAGCUAAAUAUUGGCGAGAGACCGAUAGCGAACAAGUACCGUGAGGGAAAGAUGAAAAGAACUUUGGAAAGAGAGUUAAACAGUACGUGAAAUUGCUGAAAGGGAAACGCUUGAAGUCAGUCGCGUUGGCCAGGGAUCAGCCUUGCAUUUUUGCAUGGUGUAUUUUCUGGUUGACGGGUCAGCAUCAAUUUUGGCUGCUGGAAAAAGGCUUGAGGAAUGUGGCAGCUUUGGCUGUGUUAUAGCUUCUGGUCACAUACAGCAGUUGGGAUUGAGGAACUCAGCACGCCGCAAGGCCGGGUUUCGACCACGUUCGUGCUUAGGAUGCUGGCAUAAUGGCUUUAAGCGACCCGUCUUGAAACACGGACCAAGGAGUCUAACAUGCCUGCAAGUGUUUGGGUGGAAAACCCGAGCGCGUAAUGAAAGUGAAAGUUGAGAUCCCUGUCGUGGGGAGCAUCGACGCCCGGACCAGAACUUUUGGGACGGAUCCGCGGUAGAGCAUGUAUGUUGGGACCCGAAAGAUGGUGAACUAUGCCUGAAUAGGGUGAAGCCAGAGGAAACUCUGGUGGAGGCUCGUAGCGAUUCUGACGUGCAAAUCGAUCGUCAAAUUUGGGUAUAGGGGCGAAAGACUAAUCGAACCAUCUAGUAGCUGGUUCCUGCCGA
rnacentral:rRNA from 1 species